AGUUCUCCUUUCUCUCUCUAAACUCAGUUUUCUUCUUCCUUCUCUGCCUUCUCUCUACCCUUACACUCAUUUGAACCGUUGAAAUUUCAAAUAGGUGGUGUUCUUUCGCUCACGGAGUUGAGAGCUUUCCUUCUAUCCGAUUAGAUUUCCAUUUGGACGGGUGGUUGUAGGGCACUGUUGGAUUCUCACUGUGAGGGGCACGGUUAGGGCACUCUAGUUGAAUAUACUGUUUGACUUCUAAGUAAGGGGAGCUAGUUAUUUUUGUUUGAAAUUAAUUUAUGAGAUAUAUGCAUGUUGAAUCCUGAAUUGGUGUGUUGAUUUAAACUGUUAUGUACCUGUUGAGUAUAAAUUGGUUGGUGUGGUGAUGCUGGAAAUUGUGCAUGUAAAAAUGUAUUGGUUGUAAGUUGUUAUGAUGAGAAUUGGUGACUGUGGUUUUGGUUGGAUUGAGCGAUA